rnacentral:rRNA from 1 species
GACGAACGCUGGCGGCGUGCUUAACACAUGCAAGUCGAACGGGAGUAUCGAAGAAGCUUGCUUUAGAGAUACUUUAGUGGCGGACGGGUGAGUAACGCGUGAGGAGCUGUCCAAUGCAGGGGGACAACAGUUGGAAACGACUGCUAAUACCCCAUAAGCCGAGAGGUAAAAGGAUUUAUCCGGCAGAGGAGGUACUCGCGUCCUAUCAGCUAGUAGGUGAGGUAACGGCUCACCUAGGCGAAGACGGGUAGCCGGCCUGAGAGGGCGAACGGCCACACUGGAACUGAGAUACGGUCCAGACUCCUACGGGAGGCAGCAGUGGGGAAUAUAGGGCAAUGGGGGGAACCCUGACCCAGCGACGCCGCGUGGGUGAAGAAAUCCCUCGGGAUGUAAAGCCCUGUUGUAUGGGAAGAGCAGAAGACGGUACCAUACGAGGAAGCCCCGGCAAACUACGUGCCAGCCGCCGCCGUAA